UACGUAGGUGGCAAGCGUUGUCCGGAAUUAUUGGGCGUAAAGCGCGCGCAGGUGGUUUCUUAAGUCUGAUGUGAAAGCCCACGGCUCAACCGUGGAGGGUCAUUGGAAACUGGGGAACUUGAGUGCAGGAGAGAAGAGUGGAAUUCCACGUGUAGCGGUGAAAUGCGUAGAGAUGUGGAGGAACACCAGUGGCGAAGGCGGCUCACUGGCCCGGUACUGACGCUGAGGUGCGAAAGCGUGGGGAGCAAACAGG
rnacentral:rRNA from 1 species